GUAGGGACCAAGCGUUGUUCGGAUUUACUGGGCGUAAAGGGCGCGUAGGCGGCAAUUCAAGUCAUCUGUGAAAUCUCCGGGCUUAACUCGGAAUGGUCAGGUGAUACUGCUUUGCUAGAGUGCAGAAGGGGCAAUCGGAAUUCUUGGUGUAGCGGUGAAAUGCGUAGAUAUCAAGAGGAACACCUGAGGUGAAGACGGGUUGCUGGGCUGACACUGACGCUGAGGCGCGAAAGCUAGGGGAGCAAACGGGAUUAGAUACCCCGGUAGUCCUAGCCCUAAACGAUGAAUACUUGGUGUCUGGAGUUUUUAUCCUCCGGGUGCCGUCGCUAACGUUUUAAGUAUUCCGCCUGGGGAGUACGCACGCAAGUGUG
rnacentral:rRNA from 1 species